rnacentral:lncRNA from 1 species
UGGGUGGCGAAGACAUCACGGCGUCCCCGCAGCAGCCCUCGCUGCUUGGGGAAAGCCUACCUGAGGGACGCAGCAGGGACAAUGUGGUGGGCCGGAGCGGACGGCAAACGCCGGCACCGGCGCCAUCACAGGGUCCUCGCGACGAUCCUCGCCUCUGGAGGUGUGCGGCAGGGACAAUACGGCAGUGCACCCAUCGGUGCUGAGCGCUGAUAGCAUGCACUACUAUAGUGUCUCCGCGGCAACCCUCGCUCCUUGCGGAGAUGCCCUCUGGAGGGAUGUGGCAGGGGCACUGCAGUAGUGCACCCGUCAGCGCUGAGCGCUGAUGGAAUACACCACCACAGUGUCUCCGCGGCAACCCUCGCCCCGUAGCCACUCACUAGAGGAGGUGUGGCAAGGACACGGCGACGGUGCAGCCGCCGCCGCCGAGCGCUGGUGGGAGCUCUAAAUCAAAAGUUGUGUUCAAAAUCAGAAAAUAGAAAAAAGAAAAGAAAAACGGAAGCCGAACCGGACCGGACCGGACCGACCAGCCCCGCCCGAGCCGCCCGGACGCUCCCACUGCCAGGCGGGCCCCGCCAUCGUCUUCCACCCCAACUGCAUCCGAAUUCUAUGGCCACGAAGCUCCCGAACUGCCCACGACUCCUCUCACAAUUCCGUCGCGCACGAACCACCAUAUCCAAAACCCCGCGCGUCACUUUG